GCUCGUAUGGCGCAGUGGUAGCGCAGCAGAUUGCAGAUCUGUUGGUCCUUAGUUCGAUCCUGAGUGCGAGCU
rnacentral:tRNA from 1 species